GGGGCCAAGCGACGACGGUUCGUCAUCGUGAUAUCGCCCGGACUCAUAAUCCGGCCGUCGUCGGUUCGAGCCCGACCCGCCCCACCA
rnacentral:tRNA from 1 species